UACCAGCACCCCGAGUGGUCGGGACGAUUAUUGGGCCUAAAGCAUCCGUAGCCGGUUCUGCAAGUCCUCCGUUAAAUCCAACUGCUUAACAGAUGGGCCGCGGAGGAUACUACAGAGCUAGGAGGCAGGAGAGGCAAGCGGUACUCAGUGGGGUAGGGGUAAAAUCCGUUGAUCCAUUGAAGACCACCAGUGGCGAAGGCGGCUUGCCAGAAUGCGCUCGACGGUGAGGGAUGAAAGCUGGGGGGAGCAAACCGG
rnacentral:rRNA from 1 species